rnacentral:snoRNA from 1 species
AGGUUCAGUCUUCUGAGGUUGGUCCAGCCUGCCCCAACACCCUCAGCUGAGCCUGGAAUGGAGGGUCAGGCAGCUCUACAUGGGAGAGGCAUUAAGUAAAGCGCCUCCCUGGGCUGUCCUGGCCUCACUCUG